rnacentral:rRNA from 1 species
UACGUAGGGUGCGAGCGUUGUCCGGAAUUAUUGGGCGUAAAGAGCUCGUAGGCGGCUUGUCGCGUCGGAUGUGAAAGCCCGGGGCUUAACUCCGGGUCUGCAUUCGAUACGGGCAGGCUAGAGUUCGGUAGGGGAGAUCGGAAUUCCUGGUGUAGAGGUGAAAUGCGCAGAUAUCAGGAGGAACACCGGUGGCGAAGGCGGGUCUCUGGGCAGUAACUGACGCUGAGGAGCGAAAGCGUGGGGAGCGAACAGG